ACGGGAGGCAGCAGUGGGGAAUAUUGGGCAAUGGGCGAAAGCCUGACCCAGCAACGCCGCGUGAAGGAAGAAGGCCUUCGGAUUGUAAACUUCUUUUAUGUAGGACGAAGGAAGUGACGGUACUACAUGAAUAAGCCACGGCUAACUACGUGCCAGCAGCCACGGUAAUACGUAGGUGGCAAGCGUUAUCCGGAUUUACUGGGUGUAAAGGGCGCGUAGGCGGGGAUGCAAGUCAGAUGUGAAAUCCAUGGGCUCAACUCAUGAACUGCAUUUGAAACUGUAUCUCUUGAGUGCUGGAGAGGUAGAUGGAAUUCCUAGUGUAGCGGUGAAAUGCGUAGAUAUUAGGAAGAACACCAGUGGCGAGGGCGAUCUACUGGACAGUAACUGACGCUGAGGCGCGAAAGCGUGGGGAGCAAACAGGAUUAGAUACCCUGGUA
rnacentral:rRNA from 1 species